CACGGGGGGAGCAAGCGUUGUUCGGAAUUACUGGGCGUAAAGGGCCAGUAGGCGGCCAACUAAGUCGGAUGUGAAAUCCCCAGGCUUAACCUGGGAACUGCAUCCGAUACUGGAUGGCUUGAAUUCGGGAGAGGGAUGCAGAAUUCCAGGUGUAGCGGUGAAAUGCGUAGAUAUCUGGAGGAAUACCGGUGGCGAAGGCGGCAUCCUGGACCGACAUUGACGCGUGAACGGCGAAAGCUAGGGGAGCAAACGGG
rnacentral:rRNA from 1 species